AGAUUGAACGCUAGCGGCAUGCCUAACACAUGCAAGUCGAACGGUAACAGGCCCUUCGGGGUGCUGACGAGUGGCGGACGGUGAGUAAUGCGUAGGAAUCUACCCACGAGUGGGGGAUAGCCCGGAGUAAAUCCGGAUUAAAGUACCGCAUAUUGGCCCUACCGGGGUAAAGCGGGGUAAUCGUAAGACCUCGGCGCUGGUGGAUGAGCCUACGUCGAUUAGCUA
rnacentral:rRNA from 1 species